UACGAAGGGGGCUAGCGUUGCUCGGAAUCACUGGGCGUAAAGCGCACGUAGGCGGAUUAUUAAGUCGGAGGUGAAAGCCUGGGGCUCAACCCCAGAAUUGCCUUCGAUACUGAUAGUCUCGAGUUCGGAAGAGGUUGGUGGAACUGCGAGUGUAGAGGUGAAAUUCGUAGAUAUUCGCAAGAACACCAGUGGCGAAGGCGGCCAACUGGUCCGAUACUGACGCUGAGGUGCGAAAGCGUGGGGAGCAAACAGG
rnacentral:rRNA from 1 species